rnacentral:rRNA from 1 species
GACAGAGGGUGCAAACGUUGUUCGGAAUUACUGGGCGUAAAGCGCGUGUAGGCUGCUUCGAAAGUCGGGUGUGAAAGCCCCGGGCUCAACCUGGGAAGUGCACUCGAAACUUCGGAGCUCGAGUCCUGGAGAGGAAGGCGGAAUUCUCGGUGUAGGGGUGAAAUUCGUAGAUAUCGAGAGGAACACCGGUGGCGAAGGCGGCCUUCUGGACAGUGACUGACGCUGAGACGCGAAAGCGUGGGGAGCAAACAGG